UCGGAGGGACCAUCCUCCUCACUUUCCCCUCGCCUCCUCCGCUUCUCCCUCGCCGUCCUCUCCUCGUCGCCUCGUCCGCCCGGUCCCUGCGUUGUAGAUCCGCCGCAGAUCCACCAUCGUCCCUGUCGGCCGCUUCCUCGGCGUCGUCAGCGGCCGAGCACGUUGCUCCAUGGCGGCGCUGUGUUGUGGGUUCGGUUGAGAUUCGUUGAGGAAGACGCCGGCCAGGACUCGGCCUGCCCUUCUCGUGUGCUUCCCCACUGGCCGGUGACGUUUCCCUCAUCCUCACGUCUAGAAGGCAUCCACAAUUUUCAGGUUUCUCCUUUCUCUCUCUAUCUGUUGUUGCUGAUGAGAUCUGCAUAGUUGCCCCUGCGGAUAGUCUUCGUCGUGUUAGAUCUCUAUCUCCGUCAGUGCCUUUAUAAACCAUAAGCAGAACUCAUGCAUGGAACUCCACCGUCUGGUACCAGUCUGGAGAAGAUUCCUAAAUUUAUUUCCCUGCAGCCAAGUUGAUGCUUUAGUUCAUGCAAACUGAUUGCCUGUGGUUUUUAGAUCCCGCAAAUAUGUAGAAUGUGUCGUCCAGAUUUUCAUCUUACAAUGGUAUUAAAUACUAGACUAACAAAUAACAACACCGUUGAAGAUACUAUUGUCUUUUUCGGAAGAAGACAUCUGCUUAUAAUUUACAAGCAAGAAUAAUUGAUAGCUGUCAAAGAACGGGUUGCAAACUCCCAAGACUAAAACAAGAAAUUUAUGUAGGCCUUAAUUUUUUAACUGCCCAGAUGAUUAGUGGUUUUUCGCAGGCACUAAGCAUUUGGAGGUCAAAAUUGUCUUAUGAAGUUAUACGUAUUGUUUCAGCUGUCAGGAGAGGCAAUUUAUUUGGGUUUACAACAUUACAAGUUCCCCUUAGGAACUUCUGUGAUGAUUCCCUAAAUGUUGGUUCUUUUUAUGUGUUGAAAUAAUGUGAUAAUUUCUUCUUUUUAUGUUUAUUACUCAUCAUUUUCCAUGCAUAUUUUAACUGAAAAAUGUUUGGUUGAUCAUCAGACUAGACAAGGAAAUCAUGGUUCCAACACUCCUAUUUGCGACUGGGAUGAAGACACUGCUGGAGACACUAUUUGCACUAGCCUUCUAACUGUGAAUCGGUCAUUAGUGGCUCAUACGGCUUUGUUAAUUGAAUCCUUUAUAUAAUCCUCGAGCAUUGUUGUAAGUACACAAUGAUUGUUUUUAGAUUUUGUAUCUUACAGAAUGAAUCGUGGCUGAAUGAGCCAUCACACUAAUGCAAAUAUUCAUGAUAUUCAUUCAAUUUCUUCUAUGUCCAGAGGUUCUUGCAGACUAUGAGAUCCAUACAGUGGGUGUUCAUAGCCUAAUCAAUCAUUCUGAUAAUUGGAUUUAUUUUACGGGAUAUUUGGAUUCUCUUUAGUCAAUUCAGUCUCAAGAAGUUUGUCAAUUGCUAUAAUUGCAACUGGGGCUCUAAAGGAGCAAUAUUUUCAUUGGACCUUUUCUUCUCUAAUAAUCAACCAAAGUUUACAAUGCAUCUGCUUAUGGAGAUUUCCAUCUUGCUACUGUAGAACAUUUGAUAGCUGACGAGGGAUUUUCUUUCCAUCCAUUGUUCACUGAGUAGAGUUAGAUGGUAAUUAAAAUUUCUAGCAUGUGAAGCAUGUGUAGUGUGUGUAGUCUUGCAUUUGAGAUAUUUACCUAAGAAAAGAUAUACUCCCUCCGUCCGGAAAUAAGUGACUUCGAUUUGUCUAGAUUCACAUGUAUCUAGACGUGUUUUACUGUAUAGAUACAAGUGAAUCUUGACCAAUCCGACUCACUUAUUUCUGGACGGAGGAAAGAGUUGAUUAUCUUACUUUACUACAAAUUGUUAGUACAGGGUUCUUUGCAUUUUUAUCCCUUAGUUCCAGUUUUUAUUUUUCAGGGUAGAUUUAGUUUUAGUAUAAAUAUUUAUCUCGGUCCUUGUUUCUAAUGUUUUAAUUUGAGAUUUAUUGCCAUACUUCCAAGUCUUUCUUUCUACUUCUUCUUAUGUUCAGUAAUGUAAUUAUGUCAAACCUUUUAGAAAACUAAUUUAGCUUGCUAAAAGUUCUUACAUUAGCGAAGGAGGAAGUACUUUUUUAUGGUGCCUUUAUCGGAACAACUGACAUGUUAGUCGAGUCACAUUCCUUCUGACAUGCUCAUACACAUUCCUGUUCGUUGUUCAACUUUUGUGUACUGUAGACUGUACUACCGGCGGCGCCGCUCAUGCAUGUUCAUUGUCGCUAUAGCUGAGUCGAUGUGCUCUUUUUUAUCUUCACCAUAGCUGAGCAUAUGCUCAACAGCACUCGUCUGAUUUCAUUUCCUCUAUGUAUUAACAAUUGAAGCAUGUCCUGGUGAACCAAUUGGAUGUGUCGUUCAAGUUCUACAAGAUCUGGUACUCCAUCAUUGAUGUCCUAGACAUCGACACGGUACGUCAAAAAAUUCGUCCCUUUUGUGUGCUCUUGAGAUUAAUUAAUGUGAUGACUAAUAAGUGCAAUCAUCCUAUUCGAGAGCAAAGUCGGGCAGGCAGCUGUGUUUUGACAAUGAGAAUUGUAGUGUUCUGUUCCAGUGUUCCAGCUUUUUCUGAUAAAUUUAGGAUAAGCUUAUUAUAGAAUAUGUACCUGAUAUGUACAGCCAUAAAUUUACAACUUGAUUUAUGUGGAAACCUGAAUGCCUCUGAAUCUGGUCGAGCAGUUUUCCUUGAGAACUCAAGGCAGGUUUUAUCACUUUGUGCACUGGGUUCCUACCUACAGGUUCGGAACAGGUAAUCAUGUCUCUUUGUUGUCUGAAACUCAGAAUGCUUUCUUUGUUACGAGUGCGACUACUUGCUCUUUAUUAAAUUCAUUCAUGCCAUAUAUCAGUUUGUGAGGAUCUAAUGGAUCAAGUAGUUUCAAUUUCACACCUAGAGUCUCGAUAAAAUUACAUUUGAUCAGCUAAACUUCUGAAUCUAGGUCGAGCAGUUUACUAUUGUUUUCUUAGUCGGUUUGCAGAAAAUACUAGCUGGGGAUCGACGCCCAUAAUUUAUCCACUUUCUUCUUUCAUCUUAAUUCAUUUGAGGAUUACGGAAUAUCUAUCCUAAAGCUACAAUAUGAUCAGGAGAUAAUACAUUUCCAUUAGUUUGUUGGUUCUUCCUUGUACAUCAGGGACUAGCAAAUGUUCACUGUUGCUUCCUCUAAAUACAUAACUUGGCGAUAAAUUUAGUUGGCACUUGUUGGUUGGGUGUUAUUUUGUGUUACUAUAUAGAGAGUACAAUUUAUACACAUUAUGCUGUAUAUCACACUCUAAUCUGAAAUUGAUGUCUGAAAUCAAUUUGUAUUUUCUCUUACCUCUGUUUUUGCCUUCUGUUCCUCUGGAAGAUUUUAUUAAUUAUUAUUGUACCAUGAUCACUCUAUUUGAAAGAGAUAUUUUUGGAGCCAAUAGUUGCAAAGAGGCCUUUUCUGGAAAUAGCUGGAGAAAAUUCCAUCACUCUGAGUAUAAGGUUUCAUGUUAAUGCACCGUUUUUUUGCUAAAUAACAGUUUACAGUUUGAUAGUUUCUGAACAUUUCAUGGUCUGUGCCAUAGGUUAUGUUGUUGCACGAUGGGGUUGAUUUGGAAUAGAAACAACUAAUUAUGACAUGCAAGUGUGUGUAUUUUAUGGUAAGCCCUUACUGAUAUCUUGAGCAAACUAAGUCUUGCUGCUACUCCUUUUUGGGGGAAAAUGUUUUCGUUAAUUUAUAAUUUCUAAUAAGUCUCAUUUACUUUUCAAAGUACAUCAGAUGUAUUUUCUAAGUGAAGUAGAAAUAUGAUAUAGUUGAUAAACGAGGAAUGAUAGUUUCUUUUGGGUGCUUUGAAAACUGCAAGGACUUGUCCUACUUGUAAUUAUGGAAAACACAACUAGGACUAACCAAUCUAUUCUAUCAUGUUAUUUUGUUAUUCACAAGUCUCAUACAUGUCAUGAAAAACACGAACUUUUUAGAGUUACCAUGAUCUGUAGUUAUUCUUGUUAGAAUCUCACUGAAAAAUAUUUUUCCUCUUAUGGUGUAAAUGAUUCUCUUACAAUGUUGUGCAUCAUUUUUAGGAACAUCUAAUCAUGCUAAUAUAGGUCAAAUCAGUUAUUACUGCUUUGCUUUUUUUAUUACCUGCAUUGCUUGCUACUUGCAACUUUAGUUUCUAUCAUCGACAUUAACAUAUAGAUAAGUAAUAAUGUAGUCAAAUGGUGGAUCAAUUUUACUACAAUAGUUUGUUUGAUUUAUCCAUGCUAUAAGAUGGGAAGCAAACAUGUGAAAGCUUUUAUCGAGUAGGACAUUUCUAAGGAACAAACUCAAGACAAUUUAUUGGAAUAGAAAUGCGUGAUGUAGAACACACAUUUCCUAAUGUAUAACCCAAACAAACAUUUCAAAAAUCUGCUGCAAGACAUGAAAUUACUGUCAUACCAUGGUGCUAGGGUUGAAGUUUUUCCCGUGGAUGGCCUGGUUCAGAUAUCUCUGUCUAUCCCAUUGCAUUCAUGCUCUUAUUGUGGAAUAUAGUGAAGUCAUGUAGCACCUUGAUGGGCAAACACUCCAUGCCGUUGUUUGUUAGUAUAAUCCAAUUUCAAGUGACCCUCAUGCUUAGCUCUCAAUAUUCUGAGAAACUUUGCUUAGCUAUGAAUAUUCUGAGAAACUUUGGACGGCAUUAUGUUUUGGUGUAGCUCAUAGCAUCUAUCCUUUGGCAUUCACAUUUGUCGGUGCACAAAUCUAUGUCGUGGUUUAGUGUGUGUUCUAAAGACUUGAUCCAAUUUCAUAAUGAAACUGUGAGUCCUCUGGCUUCCCUUCUCCUAGGAAAAAGAAUCAAAUGCUUGGUGCCAUUUUUCCUCACUAUUUUUGCUCACGGUUACUCCUUGAUAGCUUUUUCCAAUCCUUUCCUAAGAGAUGAUAUUGUCCAUGGUAAAGGGAAAUCUACUGUUAGAGAAUCUGUCUUCCUCAAGAACAAUUACCAGAUGCUCAAUUCAGAAAUCCCUAAAUGAGCAGAUGACAAAGGUAAAUGACUACUGAUUGGUACAAAUGACCAACACCACUGGAAUAUAUCUCAUUCCCGACUCUCCCCAUUUGGAGAUUGCAUUAAGAUCAACACUGAUGCUUCCUAUGUUGCCGAAACGGGCCAGGCUUCUAUUGGUCUUAUUGCACGUAAUAGUGCUGGUCAAUUCUGUUUUUGUGCAGGCAGAAAUCUAGAAGGAUUAGCAGCUGCGGAAGAAGCUGAAUAUGCGGUGCUUGAUGGAGUGUAGCUGGCGGCGAGGAUGAUCCAGGGACAUGUGAUCGUGCAGAGUGACUGCUCUAUCGAUGCUCCAACAACGACAGAGUAUAAACAGAUCAAAACACCAUGUGAUCUAUAAUACUGUCAGGGACCUGGCAGCAAGGUUAUCUUGUUGCAGCUUCCAGUUUUUUAGAAGAGAUGGCAACCUGAUUGCCCAUGAAUUAGCUAGGCUAGCUCGGGUAGAAGGAUUGGUUGGCUGCUGGAUGAACGGACCCCCUGAAGUUAUCUCCACCCUUGUGCAAUAUUAUUGUAAAGACAUUAUUAACAAUGUGCAAGAAAUCUCUUUUCCCUCAAAAAAAGAUUUUUAGACCUUUUUAUCUGCGAA